rnacentral:misc_RNA from 1 species
AACGCACGAGACCUGCGGACCUGCGGAGGGAUCAUUACAUGAUUUGAGGGGGCUCGCGUCCCCUCAUCCAACCCACAAACCCCGAGGAAACUUUAUGUCGAGUGGUUCGGCGCUCUCUUUGAGAGCCGCCCCUCAAACGCACCGCAGGCUUUUCGUGAGGGUCUGAUGUGUCACAUCGUGAGUAUAAAAACUUUCAACAACGGAUCUCU